rnacentral:rRNA from 1 species
CAGGCUUAACACAUGCAAGUCGAGGGGCAGCAUGGUCUUAGCUUGCUAAGGCCGAUGGCGACCGGCGCACGGGUGAGUAACACGUAUCCAACCUGCCGUCUACUCUUGGACAGCCUUCUGAAAGGAAGAUUAAUACAAGAUGGCAUCAUGAGUCCGCAUGUUCACAUGAUUAAAGGUAUUCCGGUAGACGAUGGGGAUGCGUUCCAUUAGAUAGUAGGCGGGGUAACGGCCCACCUAGUCUUCGAUGGAUAGGGGUUCUGAGAGGAAGGUCCCCCACAUUGGAACUGAGACACGGUCCAAACUCCUACGGGAGGCAGCAGUGAGGAAUAUUGGUCAAUGGGCGAGAGCCUGAACCAGCCAAGUAGCGUGAAGGAUGACUGCCCUAUGGGUUGUAAACUUCUUUUAUAAAGGAAUAAAGUCGGGUAUGGAUACCCGUUUGCAUGUACUUUAUGAAUAAGGAUCGGCUAACUCCGUGCCAGCAGCCGCGGUAAUACGGAGGAUCCGAGCGUUAUCCGGAUUUAUUGGGUUUAAAGGGAGCGUAGAUGGAUGUUUAAGUCAGUUGUGAAAGUUUGCGGCUCAACCGUAAAAUUGCAGUUGAUACUGGAUAUCUUGAGUGCAGUUGAGGCAGGCGGAAUUCGUGGUGUAGCGGUGAAAUGCUUAGAUAUCACGAAGAACUCCGAUUGCGAAGGCAGCCUGCUAAGCUGCAACUGACAUUGAGGCUCGAAAGUGUGGGUAUCAAACAGGAUUAGAUACCCUGGUAGUCCACACGGUAAACGAUGAAUACUCGCUGUUUGCGAUAUACUGCAAGCGGCCAAGCGAAAGCGUUAAGUAUUCCACCUGGGGAGUACGCCGGCAACGGUGAAACUCAAAGGAAUUGACGGGGGCCCGCACAAGCGGAGGAACAUGUGGUUUAAUUCGAUGAUACGCGAGGAACCUUACCCGGGCUUAAAUUGCAGAUGAAUUACGGUGAAAGCCGUAAGCCGCAAGGCAUCUGUGAAGGUGCUGCAUGGUUGUCGUCAGCUCGUGCCGUGAGGUGUCGGCUUAAGUGCCAUAACGAGCGCAACCCUUGUUGUCAGUUACUAACAGGUUCCGCUGAGGACUCUGACAAGACUGCCAUCGUAAGAUGUGAGGAAGGUGGGGAUGACGUCAAAUCAGCACGGCCCUUACGUCCGGGGCUACACACGUGUUACAAUGGGGGGUACAGAGGGCCGCUACCACGCGAGUGGAUGCCAAUCCCCAAAACCUCUCUCAGUUCGGACUGGAGUCUGCAACCCGACUCCACGAAGCUGGAUUCGCUAGUAAUCGCGCAUCAGCCACGGCGCGGUGAAUACGUUCCCGGGCCUUGCACACACCGCCCGUCAAGCCAUGGGAGCCGGGGGUACCUGAAGUGCGUAACCGCGAGGAGCGCCCUAGGGUAAAACUGGUGACUGGG